UCAAGUGAAGAAGCGCAUACGGUGGAUGCCUUGGCAGUCAGAGGCGAUGAAAGACGUGGUAGCCUGCGAAAAGCUUCGGGGAGUCGGCAAACAGACUUUGAUCCGGAGAUCUCUGAAUGGGGGAACCCACCUAGGAUAACCUAGGUAUCUUGUACUGAAUCCAUAGGUGCAAGAGGCGAACCAGGGGAACUGAAACAUCUAAGUACCCUGAGGAAAAGAAAUCAACCGAGAUUCCCUUAGUAGUGGCGAGCGAACGGGGAUUAGCCCUUAAGCUUCAUUGAUUUUAGCGGAACGCUCUGGAAAGUGCGGCCAUAGUGGGUGAUAGCCCCGUACGCGAAAGGAUCUUUGAAGUGAAAUCGAGUAGGACGGAGCACGAGAAACUUUGUCUGAACAUGGGGGGACCAUCCUCCAAGGCUAAAUACUACUGACUGACCGAUAGUGAACCAGUACCGUGAGGGAAAGGCGAAAAGAACCCCGGAGAGGGGAGUGAAAUAGAACCUGAAACCGUAUGCGUACAAGCAGUGGGAGCCUACUUGUUAGGUGACUGCGUACCUUUUGUAUAAUGGGUCAGCGACUUAUAUUCAGUGGCAAGCUUAACCGUAUAGGGUAGGCGUAGCGAAAGCGAGUCUUAAUAGGGCGUUUAGUCGCUGGGUAUAGACCCGAAACCGGGCGAUCUAUCCAUGAGCAGGUUGAAGGUUAGGUAACACUGACUGGAGGACCGAACCCACUCCCGUUGAAAAGGUAGGGGAUGACUUGUGGAUCGGAGUGAAAGGCUAAUCAAGCUCGGAGAUAGCUGGUUCUCCUCGAAAGCUAUUUAGGUAGCGCCUCAUGUAUCACUCUGGGGGGUAGAGCACUGUUUCGGCUAGGGGGUCAUCCCGACUUACCAAACCGAUGCAAACUCCGAAUACCCAGAAGUGCCGAGCAUGGGAGACACACGGCGGGUGCUAACGUCCGUCGUGAAAAGGGAAACAACCCAGACCGCCAGCUAAGGUCCCAAAGUUGUGGUUAAGUGGUAAACGAUGUGGGAAGGCUUAGACAGCUAGGAGGUUGGCUUAGAAGCAGCCACCCUUUAAAGAAAGCGUAAUAGCUCACUAGUCGAGUCGGCCUGCGCGGAAGAUGUAACGGGGCUCAAACCACACACCGAAGCUGCGGGUGUCACGCAAGUGACGCGGUAGAGGAGCGUUCUGUAAGCCUGUGAAGGUGAGUUGAGAAGCUUGCUGGAGGUAUCAGAAGUGCGAAUGCUGACAUGAGUAACGACAAUGGGUGUGAAAAACACCCACGCCGAAAGACCAAGGGUUCCUGCGCAACGUUAAUCGACGCAGGGUUAGUCGGUUCCUAAGGCGAGGCUGAAAAGCGUAGUCGAUGGGAAACAGGUUAAUAUUCCUGUACUUCUGGUUACUGCGAUGGAGGGACGGAGAAGGCUAGGCCAGCUUGGCGUUGGUUGUCCAAGUUUAAGGUGGUAGGCUGAAAUCUUAGGUAAAUCCGGGGUUUCAAGGCCGAGAGCUGAUGACGAGUCGUCUUUUAGAUGACGAAGUGGUUGAUGCCAUGCUUCCAAGAAAAGCUUCUAAGCUUCAGGUAACCAGGAACCGUACCCCAAACCGACACAGGUGGUCGGGUAGAGAAUACCAAGGCGCUUGAGAGAACUCGGGUGAAGGAACUAGGCAAAAUGGCACCGUAACUUCGGGAGAAGGUGCGCCGGCUAGGGUGAAGGAUUUACUCCGUAAGCUCUGGCUGGUCGAAGAUACCAGGCCGCUGCGACUGUUUAUUAAAAACACAGCACUCUGCAAACACGAAAGUGGACGUAUAGGGUGUGACGCCUGCCCGGUGCCGGAAGGUUAAUUGAUGGGGUUAGCGCAAGCGAAGCUCUUGAUCGAAGCCCCGGUAAACGGCGGCCGUAACUAUAACGGUCCUAAGGUAGCGAAAUUCCUUGUCGGGUAAGUUCCGACCUGCACGAAUGG
rnacentral:rRNA from 1 species